GGGCUCAAAGUAUUUUAUAGAGGGUAUACGAGCAAUUUGACGUCGCAGAAAACCUGUCAGAAAGAAGCACCAUGGAAUAGAGGAAAGAGGCCCGGAAUCCAGCCCCGGGAACUGUGACAGCCUCUGGGGUGGGGACUCUCGUGGAAAGGCUAGAUGAUGGAGUCACGUGCUCCCUUCCCGUUCACUAGCUGCUGAUUGGCCAACUGCUCCUGCCAGCUGUCCCUGCACUCCAGCUUCCUACCAUAUGCUCCAGAAUAACGUCUGGAAAGUGAGCCCCAUCCAUCAAGUUUGUCACACCUUGCACUCAAUCUGCUACCUUCUCUACAGUAUAUCUGCCAUUGGUUGCCAAAAAUGCUUAGUUCCCUCUUCUGAGCGAGUUCCAUUGGGCAAUCAUGAAUUUCUUGUGGGAAGAGGUGAAAGAAUACAAGAGAGCCUGUCGUGAUGCUGAUGUCCAUGCCAGUCUUGAGCACCCACCACGAGCUCGCAUCGAUGCUAUUUCUUAGGUCUGUUGAUCUGCGCGUACAGAGGCUCUGGCUCCUGUGGAUAAAGGAACAAAGUGAGGCCUGCUCUUUACACUUGCAUGGAUUUUCUG
rnacentral:lncRNA from 10 species